UUUUUUUUUUUUUUUUUUUUUUUUUUUUUUUUUUCUUUCU
rnacentral:ribozyme from 1 species